UACGUAGGGGGCAAGCGUUGUCCGGAAUCAUUGGGCGUAAAGAGCGUGUAGGCGGCCAGGUAGGUCCGUUGUGAAAACUCGAGGCUCAACCUCGAGACGCCGAUGGAAACCAUCUGGCUAGAGUCCGGAAGAGGAGAGUGGAAUUCCCGGUGUAGCGGUGAAAUGCGCAGAUAUCGGGAAGAACACCCGUGGCUAAGGCGGCUCUCUAGUACGGUACUGACGCUGAGACGCGAAAGCGUGGGGAGCGAACGAGG
rnacentral:rRNA from 1 species